AUUGAACGCUGGCGGCAUGCUUUACACAUGCAAGUCGAACGGUAACAGGCCUUCGGGUGCUGACGAGUGGCGAACGGGUGAGUAAUGCAUCGGCACGUACCCAGAGGUGGGGGAUAACGCAGCGAAAGCUGUGCUAAUACCGCAUGUGAUCUGAGGAUGAAAGCGGGGGACCGAGCAGCAAUGUUUGGCCUCGCGCCUUUGGAGCGGCCGAUGUCGGAUUAGCUAGUUGGUGGGGUAAAGGCCUACCAAGGCGACGAUCCGUAGCUGGUCUGAGAGGACGACCAGCCACACUGGGACUGAGACACGGCCCAGACUCCUACGGGAGGCAGCAGUGGGGAAUUUUGGACAAUGGGCGCAAGCCUGAUCCAGCAAUGCCGCGUGCGGGAAGAAGGCCUUCGGGUUGUAAACCGCUUUUGGCAGGAACGAAACGGUGUCCGCUAAUACCGGGCGCUAAUGACGGUACCUGCAGAAUAAGCACCGGCUAACUACGUG
rnacentral:rRNA from 1 species